GAUGAACGCUGGCGGCGUGCCUAAUACAUGCAAGUCGAGCGAACGGACGAGAAGCUUGCUUCUCUGAUGUUAGCGGCGGACGGGUGAGUAACACGUGGAUAACCUACCUAUAAGACUGGGAUAACUUCGGGAAACCGGAGCUAAUACCGGAUAAUAUUUUGAACCGCAUGGUUCAAAAGUGAAAGACGGUCUUGCUGUCACUUAUAGAUGGAUCCGCGCUGCAUUAGCUAGUUGGUAAGGUAACGGCUUACCAAGGCAACGAUGCAUAGCCGACCUGAGAGGGUGAUCGACCACACUGGAACUGAGACACGGUCCAGACUCCUACGGGAGGCAGCAGUAGGGAAUCUUCCGCAAUGGGCGAAAGCCUGACGUAGCAACGCCGCGUGAGUGAUGAAGGUCUUCGGAUCGUAAAACUCUGUUAUUAGGGAAGAACAUAUGUGUAAGUAACUGUGCACAUCUUGACGGUACCUAAUCAGAAAGCCACGGCUAACUACGUG
rnacentral:rRNA from 1 species